rnacentral:rRNA from 1 species
UGACAGUACUCCUACGGGGAGGCAGCAGUGGGGGAAGUAUUGCACAAUGGGCGCAAGCCUGAUGCAGCCAUGCCGCGUGUGUGAAGAAGGCCUUCGGGUGUAAAGCACUUUCAGUCGUGAGGAAGGUAGUGUAGUUAAUAGCUGCAUUAUUUGACGUUAGCGACAGAAGAAGCACCGGCUAACUCCGUGCCAGCAGCCGCGGUAAUACGGAGGGUGCGAGCGUUAAUCGGAAUUACUGGGCGUAAAGCGCAUGCAGGUGGUUUGUUAAGUCAGAUGUGAAAGCCCGGGGCUCAACCUCGGAAUAGCAUUUGAAACUGGCAGACUAGAGUACUGUAGAGGGGGGUAGGAAUUUCAGGUGUAGCGGUGAAAUGCGUAGAGAUCUGAAGGAAUACCGGUGGCGAAGGCGGCCCCCUGGACAGAUACUGACACUCAGAUGCGAAAGCGUGGGGAGCAAACAGGAUUAGAUACCCUGGUAG